AGUCAUAUGCUUGUCUUAAAGAUUAAGCCAUGCAUGUCUAAGUAUAAAUAGUGUACAUUGAAACUGCGAAUGGCUCAUUAAAACAGUUAUAGUUUAUUUGAUGAUGGACUACAUGGAUAACCGUAGUAAUUCUAGAGCUAAUACAUGCUGUAAGCCUGACUUUAGGGAAAGGUUGUAUUUAUUAGAUCCCAAACCAAUAGUUUCGACUAUUGUGACGAUUCAUAAUAACUGGUCGGAUCGGGCAUUGCUCGAUGGAUCAUUCAAGUUUCUGCCCUAUCAGCUUUCGAAGAUAGUGUAUUGAACUAUCUUGGCUAUUACGGGUAACGGGGAAUUAGGGUUC
rnacentral:rRNA from 1 species